rnacentral:rRNA from 1 species
AAUACAUGCAAGUCGUGCGAGAAAGUACCCUUCGGGGUGCGAGUAGAGCGGCAAACGGGUGAGUAACACGUAAGUAACCUACCUCUAAAUCUGGAAUAACUCAGCCAACGCGGAGCUAAUACCGGAUGUGGUCACGAUGCUGCAUGGUAUUGUGACUAAAGGUGACCUCUCCUUGGAAGUUACCGUUUAGAGAUGGGCUUGCGGACCAUUAGCUAGUUGGUGAGGUAACGGCUCACCAAGGCUACGAUGGAUAGCCGGCCUAAGAGGGUGAUCGGCCACAUUGGGACUGAGAUACGGCCCAGACUCCUACGGGAGGCAGCAGUAGGGAAUUUUGCGCAAUGGACGAAAGUCUGACGCAGCAACGCCGCGUGAGGGAUGACGGCCUUCGGGUUGUAAACCUCUGUUGAGUGGGAAGAAAAGCUUAGUGGUUAAUAUCCACAGAGUCUGACGGUACCACUCGAGGAAGCUCCGGCUAACUACGUGCCAAGCAGCCGAGGUAAUACGUAAGGGGCUAACGUUGUUCGGAAAUCACUGGGCGUAAAGGGAGUGUAAGCGGACCGGUAAGUCAGGAGUAAAAUGUUCGGGCUCAAACCGUGAUCUGCUUAUAAUAGUGUCGGGUCUUGAGUAUGGGAGAGGGAGAUGGAAUUCCAGGUGUAGCGGUGGAAUGCGUAGAUAUCUGGAAGAACACCAGUUGCGAAGGCGGUCUCCUGGACCAAUACUGACGCUGAUGCUCGAAAGCUGGGGGAGCGAACAGGAUUAGAUACCCUGGUAGUCCCAGCCGUAAACGAUGGACACUAGUUGCCGGAGGAGUCAAUCCCUUCGGUGACGAAGCUAACGCAUUAAGUGUCCCGCCUGGGGAGUACGCUCGCAAGGGUGAAACUCAAAGGAAUUGACGGGGGCCCGCACAAGCGGUGGAGCAUGUGCUUUAAUUCGAUGCAACGCGAAGAACCUUACCUGGGUUUGACAUGGGGGUGAAAGUUUCCAGAGAUGGAAGCCUUUCCUUCGGGAACACCCCACACAGGUGCUGCAUGGUUGUCGUCAGCUCGUGUCGUGAGAUGUUGGGUUAAGUCCCGCAACGAGCGCAACCCCUGCCCUUAGUUGCCAUCAGGUAAAGCUGGGAACUCUAAGGGGACAGCUUGGUAUAACCAGGAGGAAGGUGGGGAUGACGUCAAAUCAUCAUGGCUCUUACGCCCAGGGCUAGACACGUGCUACAAUGGCAGGUACAGUGGGAUGCCAGCCUGCGAAGGUGAGCUAAUCCCUUAAAACCUGUCUCAGUACGGAUUGCAGGCUGCAACCCGCCUGCAUGAAGCUGGAGUUGCUAGUAACCGCGCGUCAGCCAUAGUGCGGUGAUACGUUCCCGGGGUUUGUACACACCGCCCGUCACGUCAUGGGAGUCGAUAACGCCUGAAGCCGGUGGCCUAGCUCGGAAGAGAGGGCGCUGUCUAAGGCGGGGUCG